UACGUAGGGGGCAAGCGUUGUUCGGAAUUACUGGGCGUAAAGGGCGCGUAGGCGGCAUGGCAAGUCGGGAGUGAAAGCCCGGGGCUCAACCCCGGAACGGCUUUCGAAACUGCCAAGCUAGAGUACGGAAGGGGCAACUGGAAUUCCCAGUGUAGCGGUGAAAUGCGUAGAUAUUGGGAAGAACACCGGAGGCGAAGGCGGGUUGCUGGGCCGAUACUGACGCUGAGGAGCGAAAGCGUGGGGAGCGAACAGG
rnacentral:rRNA from 1 species